GAUGAAGAACGCAGCGAAAUGCGAUAAGUAGUGUGAAUUGCAGAAUUCAGUGAAUCAUCGAAUCUUUGAACGCACAUUGCGCCUCCUGGUAUUCCUGGAGGCAUGCCUGUUCGAGCGUCAUUAAAAUCACUCAAGCUUAGGUUUACCUAUUGCUUGGUCUUGGAGAUGGAAGCCAAUUUAUUGGAAUCCUCUUCGAAAUUCAAUGGCGAAGACCCUUGCUCUCCCAAGUGUAGUAAUAACUUAUGUCACUGAAGGAAGCGAGAAAUCUUCUGCCGUAACCCCCAUAUUUUCUAUGAUUGACCUCGGAUCAGGUAGGGAUACCCGCUGAACUUAAGCAUAUCAAUAAGCGGAGGA
rnacentral:misc_RNA from 1 species